UGAAUUGCACACUGAGAAGAUCAAAGCUGGGAUUCUCCUGCAUAGAUGAAAGACCAGAGGUUGCAAUGCCAGCUGUGUUCUACGGAAGGCCAUCACAGAAAAUAUGCAGAUUUACCACAACUGAGUGAUCAGUGACCAUUAAGCUGCAAAACAUUAUCAAGAUAACUUUAAGUAAAAACACAGAGGGAUAUUGGAGAGGAGAAUUUGUCCAGAUCUUGACCGGGGUUGACUUCUGAACGAGGAAUGGUUGCUGUGUUUGAAAUGCUCUCCAGCUUAAUCAGGCAUUUCAUCAGCCAAUAGAAUCGCAGGAGAAAAUGGGCUGGUCUUAAGCUAUGCUGGAGUUGUCUGCCCUUGUGUGUGUUCAGAUCGCUAAACACCUUAUGUUCUGUUAUGGAGACUUUGUUUAUUGUGACAGAAUUUUGGAUGAGGUCACAUUGUGUGUUGCAUCAUACAUGUGAAACUGACACUGGAAAAACCAUUAGGAUUUUUAACACAGGUGGAAGGAAUGGCACACAAAUGUCCCUUGUCUGGUUUUUGAUCAUCUCCACGCUACAGCUCAUGCUGUUGGACAUGCGCUCCAUGUUGGUGGAGAUAUUGGACACUGGCCCACUGACCAGGGCUGCCAGGAGGAGGGAGUAAAGCACCCACCGCCCGUAC